GUGCUUGCUUGGGCAGCACGUAUACUAAAAUUGGAAUGAUACAGAGAAGAUUAGCAUAGCCUCUGCACAAGGACAACAUGCAAAUUCGUGAAGUGUUUCACAUUUUU
rnacentral:snRNA from 1 species